rnacentral:rRNA from 1 species
UGGGGAAUCUUGCGCAAUGGGGGAAACCCUGACGCAGCGACGCCGCGUGCGGGAUGAAGGCCUUCGGGUUGUAAACCGCUUUCAGCAGGGACGAGGCCUUAUGGUGACGGUACCUGCAGAAGAAGCUCCGGCUAAAUAUGUGCCAGCAGCCGCGGUAAUACGUAUGGAGCAAGCGUUAUCCGGAUUCAUUGGGCGUAAAGCGCUCGUAGGCGGUCUGUUAGGUCGGCAAGUUAAAUCCGGGGGCUCAACCCCCGUCCGCUUCCGAUACCGGCAGACUUGAGUUUGGUAGGGGAAGGUGGAAUUCCUAGUGUAGCGGUGGAAUGCGCAGAUAUUAGGAAGAACACCGGUGGCGAAGGCGGCCUUCUGGGCCAUAACUGACGCUGAGGAGCGAAAGCUAGGGGAGCGAACAGG